UACAGAGGUCCCAAGCGUUGUUCGGAUUCACUGGGCGUAAAGGGUGCGUAGGUGGCCAGGUAAGUCUGAUGUGAAAUCUCGGAGCUCAACUCCGAAACUGCAUUGGAUACUAUCUGGCUGGAGGGUCGGAGGGGGGACUGGAAUUCUCGGUGUAGCAGUGAAAUGCGUAGAUAUCGAGAGGAACACCAGUGGCGAAGGCGAGUCCCUGGACACUUCCUGACACUGAGGCACGAAAGCUAGGGGAGCAAACAGG
rnacentral:rRNA from 1 species